GUCUUUGGAGAUUGGACUUGAGACAACAGUCCAGGCCCUACGGGGCGCAGCAGGCGCGAAAACUGUGCAAUGCGCGAAAGCGCGACACGGGGAGCCUGAGUGCCUUGACUUUUUGUCAAGGCUUUUCUGAUGUCUAAAAAGCAUCAGGAAUAAGGGCUGGGCAAGACGGGUGCCAGCCGCCGCGGUAACACCCGCAGCUCGAGUGGUGAUCACUUUUAUUGAGUCUAAAGCGUCCGUAACCGGUCUUAUAAAUCUUCAGAUAAAUUCUUCCGCUUAACGGAAGAACUUCUGAAGAGACUGUAAGACUUGGGACCGGGUGAGGUUGAAUGUACUUUCAGGGUAGGGGUAAAAUCCUGUAAUCCUGAAAGGACGACCGGUGGCGAAAGCGUUCAACUAGAACGGAUCCGACGGUGAGGGACGAAGGCUAGGGGAGCAAACCGGAUUAGAUACCCGGGUAGUCCUAGCUGUAAACGCUGCCCACUUGGUGUUGCUUCUCCGUUGAGGGGGGGCAGUGCCGUAGCGAAGGUGUUAAGUGGGUCACUUGGGGAGUACGGCCGCAAGGCUGAAACUUAAAGGAAUUGGCGGGGGAGCACCGCAACGGGAGGAGCGUGCGGUUUAAUUGGAUUCAACGCCGGAAAACUCACCGGGAGCGACCUUCGGAUGAGGGUCAACCUGACGAAUUACCCGAUGAAGAGAGGUUCCCG
rnacentral:rRNA from 1 species